GCAUGCUAUUAAAUGGACCUUUGAGACCACACGGCACUGCACUGGUCUACGGUCUGGAUGUGUGAACGCCGAACGCGUUGAUAUACUGUUUAAAAAAAAAACAACAUAAAAAUAUAGUAUUAACAAAAAAAAAAAAUAAAACUUGUAAAUUAGUCGAAAACACAAAAAGCUAUAUAUAUUUAUUAUGUAUUAUAUUAUAUUUUAGUAUAUUUAAUUACAAAGUCCGAUUGACAGAAUAUCAAUGGAACCCAACUGUAGCAAAUGACUGUAGAACUUGUUUUAUUAUUACUUUUCCAUUCCAAGCCAUUUGACAGCAUUAAAAUAUGAUUUUCCCUUAGCGACAAAUAAUUUAUUUAACGUCAAAAAGGGUUGGAAACCACAACAUAAACCGAGUAACCGACAAGUAUGCACUAUGCAUGGUAUAAUAAAAUGUAAAAGCGAUAUCACCAUUUACAGUGCAAGAGGCGUUACCAAGUGUCAUAUACUUAAACGGAUACAAGCAUAAAAUAAAAGCAGUUCAUACACAAUUUCAAAAUGUAACGACGUAUUCUUCCUCUGGGUUUUGAAAUUCCGAGGGGAAAUUUAUUCUUGAACUUGGCUAAAACUUAUCAUUAUCCGUCAAUUGUAAAAUAACAUUCACAAGUUCCUUGACGACCUUGAGCUCUAGGGGUCACCGACUUGAAGACCUAAAAAUUCGCUCAUAAAAGUGCUACUUUCUUAGGACUUUUUUUCCUUAUAAAUGUACUCAACGUAUACGAUUUUUUGAGUGUAUAAUAUAAGCAAAAUGCUGUGUAGUA